rnacentral:rRNA from 1 species
AAUUCUAUGUGGUGGAUCACUUGGUUCGUGUGUCGAUGAAAAGCGCAGCCAACUGUGUGAAUAAAUGUGAAUCGCAGACUGCUUUGAACGUCGGCAUUUUGGCCGUAGGUUUGCCUACGACCACGCCUUGCCAAGAGUCG